AUCAAUUUCCCUGUUUCGUUCACACAAACAGGCAGGAGGAAGAGAGAGAGAGAUGAAUCAGCUCUCAUGGAGAUCUCUAAGAAAUGUCGUCAUUUGUUUCCAUUCCUGGGUUUGAGAUCUCUCUCCUGAUUUGUUCUUAAAGCAUCUCUAAAUGCAUGCGCUCCUCCAAUCAGAGACAGACACAUCCAACAAAACGUCAGUACUGGAGGAGUUUUUCCAGGCAGUCUCCUGGCGAAAGUCCAGCUCUUACCUGGAAUUAGCCAAAGCCUGGCUGUAAACAACACCAGAGAAGGGAAACUGCCCAAGAGACCAGCAGGAGGCAGGGGAAAUUAACACCCAGGAAAAGGUUGGAAAGUUGAGAGUUCUCAUCUUCUGUCUUGGCAUGAUAUAUUAUAGUUUGCAGGUCCUGUCAUCAAUCAUGGUAGAAGGUGCAUUUACUCACUGACAUUAAUUUGUCAAUCUUCGAUGAUAUUGUCAAGUUUGUGGAUGUUGGACCACCUGGACCAUCCUUUCAGGGUCUUGUUUAAUCAAACAAUAUUAGACUGGGAGGAAUCCAGUUUUUCAUCUUCUGUGGAAACAAAUGUAGAACCACUCUAUCAAAACAACGUACCCACAGAUGCAAAAUUUGAAGUCAAGGUUCUUUGAUAAUACCUCCCCCAUAUACUUUGUACAGUUUCAUGAUGAUUGUAAUGUGGUUAAGCUGAUUGGAAAGGGGAUGGAGAAACUAGAAAGACUUUGCUUUAUUGUGUCUGUUCCAGGAGUUCAGUUCAGUGUUUAGCUGUGGGUAUCUGUCUCUGCUUCCAUCAAUCCCUGGAUGAAGUUUCCAGGAUGACAUAUAAGGAAAUUGGAUGAUUCCAGUCACAUGGAGAAGGAUAGAAGCCUAUGAAAACAAUGAGGAUCUUCAUGCAUCAGAGUGCACCAAGGAGAUAUUUAUCUCUUUGUGCCAUAAUUGCUUGAAAAACUUCAAAAAGUGUCCUUUAACUAUUUCAAUAAAGAUGAAUUUGUAAUAUA